rnacentral:snRNA from 1 species
GGAUGUGAGGGCGAUCUGGCUGCGACAUCUGUCAUCCCAUUGAUCGCCAGGGUUGAUUCGGCUGAUCUGGCUGGCUAGGCGGGUGUCCCCUUCCUCCCUCACCGCUCCAUAUGCGUCCCUCCCGAAGCUGCGCGCUCGGUCGAAGAGGACGACCAUCCCCGAUAGAGGAGGACCGUUCUUCGGUCAAGGGUAUACGAGUAGCUGCGCUCCCCUGCUAGAACCUCCAAACAAGCUCUCAAAAUCCAUAUGAGCUUCUCAAGGCCACCAAUUCUGACUUCACUGUAAGAACUUUGGGUCUUU